rnacentral:lncRNA from 1 species
CCUAGAAGUCCAGUAUAAGUCUCAUACAUUAUCUCCAAAAUAUACUACUCGUCCCAGUACUACUUAGCACAAGGGUUCAUGUUUCACCCUUGCAAAAAUACAUACAUAUUAUCCAAGUUUACAACAUAACAGAUUUUAGAGUACACAAAAUGCGAUCUGUCACCUGGAGCAUCAAAAAGCCAAUGAAUUUGACAAAGGGCACAAACUUCACUGUGAAGG